CAAACGACUCUCGGCAACGGAUAUCCCGGCUCUCGCAUCGAUGAAGAACGUAGCGAAAUGCGAUACUUGGUGUGAAUUGCAGAAUCCCGUGAACCAUCGAGUCUUUGAACGCAAGUUGCGCCCGAGGCCAUUAGGCCAAGGGCACGUCUGCCUGGGUGUCACGC
rnacentral:rRNA from 1 species